UUUAUUUAGAGAGUUUGAUCCUGGCUCAGGAUGAACGCUGGCGGCGUGCUUAACACAUGCAAGUCGAACGAAGCACUUUGGACGGAUUCUUCGGAUGAAGUCCUUAGUGACUGAGUGGCGGACGGGUGAGUAACGCGUGGGUAACCUGCCUCAUACAGGGGGAUAACAGUUAGAAAUGGCUGCUAAUACCGCA
rnacentral:rRNA from 1 species